GAUGAACGCUGGCGGCGUGCCUAAUACAUGCAAGUCGAGCGAACAGACGAGGAGCUUGCUCCUCUGACGUUAGCGGCGGACGGGUGAGUAACACGUGGAUAACCUACCUAUAAGACUGGGAUAACUUCGGGAAACCGGAGCUAAUACCGGAUAAUAUAUUGAACCGCAUGGUUCAAUAGUGAAAGACGGUUUUGCUGUCACUUAUAGAUGGAUCCGCGCCGCAUUAGCUAGUUGGUAAGGUAACGGCUUACCAAGGCGACGAUGCGUAGCCGACCUGAGAGGAGGAUAGGCCACACUGGGACUGAGACACGGGUCAGCCUCCGACGGGAGGAAGCAGUGGGGAAUAUUGGGCAAUGGGCGCAACCCUAAUCCAUCCAUACCGCGUGGGUGAAGAAGGCCUUCGGGUUGUAAAGCUCUUUUGUUGGGAAAGAAAAGCAGCCGGGUAAAACCCCGCUGUUCUGACGGUACCCAACGAAUAAGCACCGGCUAACUUCGUG
rnacentral:rRNA from 1 species